rnacentral:piRNA from 1 species
UAUUAACAAUAGAAUAUGCUGAUGUGCGU